rnacentral:rRNA from 1 species
GGCUCAGAGCGAACGCUGGCGGCAGGCUUAACACAUGCAAGUCGAGCGGGCGUAGCAAUACGUCAGCGGCAGACGGGUGAGUAACGCGUGGGAACAUACCUUUUGGUUCGGAACAACACAGGGAAACUUGUGCUAAUACCGGAUAAGCCCUUACGGGGAAAGAUUUAUCGCCGAAAGAUUGGCCCGCGUCUGAUUAGCUAGUUGGUGAGGUAAUGGCUCACCAAGGCGACGAUCAGUAGCUGGUCUGAGAGGAUGAUCAGCCACAUUGGGACUGAGACACGGCCCAAACUCCUACGGGAGGCAGCAGUGGGGAAUAUUGGACAAUGGGCGCAAGCCUGAUCCAGCCAUGCCGCGUGAGUGAUGAAGGCCCUAGGGUUGUAAAGCUCUUUUGUGCGGGAAGAUA